UUUGUACCUUGGGGCAGUUUUUAACCUAAACUGGUAAGAAUAAGCUUAGGGGGUCUUUCAUGCAGGUCCCCACAUCUGUACCCUAGAGUUCAGAGUGGGGAAGGAACCUUGACAGUUUCCUUUUGUAAUUUUCGAUACUUUAAUGAAGUCUCAUCUAAUUUUCUUUUUUCUCAGUUAAAUAAUCUUAGUCUUUGCAGUCAUAAUUUCAUGUUUUUCUCCUUAGGGUUAGGUAACCAAAUCUGCACAUGGUACUUCAGUAAUGUGCAUUUGUAUAUACUUUUUGCAUUGUUUUUCCUCUGUUUUUGUAACGCAUUACAUGUCCCAUUUGCCUCUUAAACAGCUUUUGUACACUUCAAAAACAUUGUGUUUGAGGGCCAAAUCCUGGCCUGGCUAAAGCAACAUCUGCCCCCUUACUCCCUUGCCCUGGCUACUCACAUCAUGGGCAGCAGCACGGGAGAGGAUGCUAUAUUUCCGACCCUGCACAACCUAGAUGUACAGGGGUAUCCCUGGCCAGGCACUGUGCUCUGGCAAUCUCUACCUCCAUAGCCCGUGUAACUAUGCCACAGUCUGGUUUGGCCUUCAGUCAGGCCAACUAUCAGAAGAGCUGAAAAGAUCAGGGGAGCUACCUUUUCUCCUCCAUUUGAGGGUCCUGCAUAGAAUUUAGCUCAGUUGGUCCUGAGGAUCCAGCUCCAGGAGUUUGAAGUGGAAAGAUUCAGCUGUGCAAGCCGGGAAAGAGCAGCAGAGCAUAAACCACUUGAUAAGUAUUUGAUGGUGAUCUGAAAUAAUCUUGUCCAUAAUAGUAAGAGGAAAAAGAAGGUCAGAAGAGCAAGAACCUUUAACAGCAAAGAGGUUCAAAUAUUUAUCCAUUAUUUCAAACUAGCUGUUUUCAGUUAUCAGCUGUUUAUUGCAAGAUCAGAAACUGUUACAUUAUGCAGAGUUUAGAAAAAAAGUGUGACUUGACUGUGAUUUUGUGUCACAUUUUGAAUUGCUAAGGCUAGGCAGGUGCAUAAAUUGUAUUGCCUAAUAACUUCUUUCACACAUACUGCCAAAGCUGCUGGUUUUGGGUGUGCAUUUUCUGUCAGCUUCUUUGCUUUUCUGUUAGCAGCUCCACAGAUUUCUUCCCAGUUCUACUACAGAUACAGGAGAGGCCAAGCAUCUGGGAGAUCAGCAGAACAGCUGGGUGGAAGCAUGGCAGAAGCACAGAGCAGGUGGCAAAGAGGAAAGCAACUUUUUUCUUUUAAAGCUUGUUUCUUUUGAAACUUGUGAGAACAAACUGAGUCCUUAGAAUUGUUGAAGAGGGACUACUUUGGAAAGGGAAAAUUGUUUAAUUGGAAGAUGAGGGGCAAAUCAUGUAAAAUUUCAAGUCACACCAAUACAAAGGGGUUUUCACAGUGUACUGAUACCAAAGGAGCUGGAUAGGCUGUUGUCAUAAAUAUAAAGGGAAGGGUAAACAUCUUUAAAAUCCCUCCUGGCCAGAGGAAAAAUCCUUUCACCUGUAAAGGGUUAAGAAGCUAGGAUAACCUCGAAGGCACCUGACCAAAAUGACCAAUGAGGAGACAAGAUACUUUCAAAAGCUGGGGGGAGGGAGAAAACAAAUCUCUCUCUCUCUCUGUCUGUGUGAUGCUUUUGCUGGGGACAGAACAGGAAUGGAGUCUUAGAACUUAGUAAGUAAUCUAGCUAGAUAUGCGUUAGAUUAUGAUUUCUUUAAAUGGCUGAGAAAAUAAGCUGUGCUGAAUAGAAUGCAUAUUCCUGUCUGUGUGUCUUUUUGUAACUUAAGAUUUUGCCUAGAGGGAUUCUCUAUGUUUUGAAACUAAUUACCCUGUAAGGUAUUUACCAUCCUGAUUUUACAGAGGUGAUUCUUUUUUACUGUUUCUUCUAUUAAAAUUCUUCUUUUCAAGAACUGAAUGGUUUUUUCAUUGUUCUUAAGAUCCAAGGGUUUGGGUCUGUGGUCACCUAUGCAAAUUGGUGAGGAUUUUUACCAAACCUUCCCCAGGAAGUGGGGUGCAAGGAUUGGGAGGCUUUUGGGGGGCAAGACGUUUCCAAACGGGCUCUUUCCUAAUAAAAAUAAACCCGGUCAGAUGUUUGGUGGUGGCAGUGGAAGUCCAAGAGCAAAGGGUAAAAUAGUUUGUACCUUGGGGAAGUUUUAACCUAAGCUUAUAAAAGUAAGCUUAGGAGGUAUUCAUGCAGGUCCCCACAUCUGUACCCUAGAGUUCAGAGUGGGGAAGGAACCUUGACAGCUGUAUACAUAAAUAGAAUCACUAUCUUAACCCUGUAGGGAGAAGUAAAAGACAGUUAAUAAUUGUGUGUAGAAAACAGGGAUAUUUUUGAACACAGACAACACAUUAUAAUGCAGUUGAUAAUACAUUUCAUAACUCUGAUACAGAAAAGGCAAAGCUUGUUUCAUCAGAAUUAUGUGUAUAAGAGAAUAUGGUUAAUUUAAAAUUGGAUCUAAUUUUAUUCCCAAACAGAUUUAGUUUCAUAAAAAUUAACUAAUUUACUGAGAGCGUGACUAAUAAGGUAAUUAAAAAUGAUUUUAGAUACAACAACAAAAUACAAAUUUCAAAGGAUGGAUGUAUUAGUGUUUAAUUUUGUAAAUAUUGAGGCUGCUCAGGGCUGGAGUACACCAAACCCCUGAGGUGCCAGCUCAGAGGCAAGUACAGUAGGUCACACUCUGAGGCCACCAAAACAUUUGUUGUGAGAACCCCUGAGGGACUGCCAUGUACCCUAAUGUGUAUCCUUCUGACAAUGGCUGAUAGGUGGUGGUGCAGCAUUGCCGGGGCAUAAAGAUACUCCACUAACUCCCUCCUGUCCCUGAAAUUCCACCACAGAAUUCUCCAUGAACAGAGGGUGGGAGGGAGAAUAUGGGUACGCAGUAAUUGUUAAUCAUGCCUCUAGCCACCAUACUUCUUAACAUUCCCCGUAACACUUCCAAAAUGGAAGUGAGAAAGGCAUGGAGGGUGGAGAUAACUGGGGAAAUAAGGUAAAAAAGAAACUUCUUUUGAGUUGUACUCACAUAAAAUAUGGCGCUUAAAGCAGAAAGGGCAUUGAUCCAAUUAUAUCAUCCUACACCUAUGAGGUCUGGUCUCUGGAGUCUGGCACACAGUUUCCAAAUUACCAUCUAUAUUAGCUUAAAAACUAGAAAACCCAAAUUUUCAAUUUUAGUGGUGGCAAAAGAAGAUACAAGUUGGAUCUACUCUGACUUCCUGCUAAUAAAUUCUGCUAGUUGGUCUGUAUAAAAAUGUUGAACCCUUCAAUUGGAAUUCCAGCCAGAAUUGGCAUAGGAACAAAGGUUCAAAUCUCGCCUCUAGGAUUACCAGCACCUCUGGCUGUAUGGGCUUUGGACAGAAUUUAAAACAGCUAAAUAGAAGAAAGAAAAAUACAAAAAUAGCUGAGCUUUCCCCAUGAUAUUUUGCUUUGGAACAUCCUUAAGUGAAUGGCUGUAUAAUACACCUCUAGAGAUAUACAGUGCCAGAUUAAAAGUGUGUUUCUCUUUCACAAAGAGAAUAUACAGCUAGAUUUCAGCCAAGAGUUUAAAAACAGGAAUAAAAAGUUAGGCUUCUAAAUUAGCAAUUAAAAACCUGCCUGAAUUCCAAAAGUGCAGAAUGCCCGGGAGCUCGCAUGCAAGUAAAUUGGAGAUGCUGGGUGCACAGGACACAAAUAAAGACCAUGCCUGCCCUGCCCUGAUAAGUUUACAGUCUAUGGGUAUGUCUUCACUGCAGCAUUAACUCAGAUGGUCAGCACCCAGGUUUGCCUAAGCAGGGUGCAAGCAGCCACACUGCAAAGCUGUACUGCCAAUUGUGUUGUUAGGAUUUCUGAGGGUUCAUCCCAGGGUUCUUUGUGGGGCAAUAAGCUGCUCUAUGAGUCAUUCCCAGUGAAUUGUGGAAGAAUGUAUCUGUCCUGAUCCCCACUGGGGGAAUUGUGGGAAGGCAUUGGAGGAAUAACAGCACUCAAAGUGAUUUAGCCUAUGUCCUUGCUGCAAAGUGGGUGGUUUACCCGCCUGAAUGAAAGCAGCAGGGUGAUUCCAGCCCAUAAAGUCAGCAGGGCCUGCUAGCUGGGGUUAAAAGCGCCACCAAAUUCGGGUGAAAGGAUUUUGUGUGUGGAUGGGAGCAGGGCUGGCGCAAUAUCUGACUAAGAGCUAACUCUGCAAUGAAGACAUACCCCUAAGGGCUAGCUAGAUUGUGCAGUUUAGGCACAGCCAUCCGUUAGGAGUGGUGCAGAACUGGACAAACUCAAUGAGGCUGAAUUCCUCCUUACCAGUACAAAAUCUACUGCUUCACUUUAAGGGCUUCAGGCAGCAUACUCUGCUCUCUUGCAUUUGCAGAGAGGCAAAGCCAUUGGUUAUGCCUAUGUGCCCCAAUGGAUGUGGAUGGAAGCAAUCUCUCUGGACUGCAAUUAUGCCUGUCUCUUAUAUGUGCCACACAAAGGAGGGGGAAGCUCCUUACUUCUGGUCCUCCCUCCCCAUAUCCUGUGCACCUGCAUAAGCGCUAGGCAUAAUCUAGCCCCCUAAAUGAGUUUACAAGCUCCUAUGAUUGUCUCUUGUCAUUAGUUCUGAUGCUUUAGAAAAGGGCAGGGAGAAAAACAUGUUCCGUAUUUUGAGCACCUCUGUCACAAGCACAGCUAGUAAAACCGAAAUAUUGUACAAAUAAGAUUCGUCUUAGCCCCGGAAACAAAGGUAGUGCCUUUGGAACAAUUUACUGAUGGCCAUGAUGGAUUUUCCAUCACUGAGAACAAUUUCUAAAUCAAGAUCGGACUUUUUUCUAAAAAAUAUGGUCUAGGAAUUCUUUUGGGGAAGUUCUAUGGCCUAUGGUAUACAAUAGGUCAUACUGUGAUCACAAUAGUCCCUUCUGGCCUUAAAAUCAGUGAAUGUAUGAAUAUUUUGCAGUGAGGUAGAGAUGUAUCUUUUAUUAGCCAUUAUAUGCAGCCAUUUUAAAAAAAUGUCAGUUCAAAGAUUCUUUCCUUUUUUUAAAGGAAAGGACAGUCGUAAUUCAAUGGACUGAUGACAGGGUAUAGGAGUCAGAAGUUCUAGGUUAUUCUCCUUCCCCUUCCUCUGACUUACUCUGUGUUCAUGGGAAGACCAUUUAAAUUCCCUGCCUCCAUUUCUCCAUGUUAUCCUUGUGACACUCUGUACCUCAGGGCAGUGCCCUGGAACCCCUGUAUCCACACCGUCAUAUGGUUAUGACAUAUUUCAUAUAGAGCAUGUCAGGGGGAUGACAUGUGAAAGGUCAUGAUCUCCAGAAGCCCAUUGUUCUGACUGGGUGUGUGUAUCAUUGAUGGGGUGUGUGUGGGGGUGGGGGUUGGUUUGCUGUAUGGUUGUUACUGAAAUAUGCUGUAAGUUUGUUAGUGAUAUACAAAGGCAGCAAACCAUUCUCAGGAGGGUGCUCAACGACCAUUAAUCAGCAGGGAAGUUGUAAUCAAGGGAUCUACAAUUCAAUGAGGGCUGCCCAAGCACCACACAACGGGGACUGCUCAGAUCUAUGACUCAGUUGCACAAGACCACCAGUGGGAUUGCUCAACCCUGUGACUCAGCAAAGCCCGCCAGGACAUUUCUGGGUAAGUGUUGUCUAGGCACAUGGACUAAGGAUAUAAAAUAGAAGAUGUGGCAUCAUGUUUUUGCCUUUCUGUUCCCCCAUCUAUGCUGGAAGCGACAGGAAUGCCGAGAAAAUGAAGGUCAUCUGAGGAGACUGGUCCAGGUUUAAGGAGAAGCCUGUGCGUUAAGAACUGUAACAUCCAGUGGGCUUCCCCUGUAAACUUUGCAUCUGCCAUCUCUGCCUGAAAGCAUGAAUCCUGCACUACUCACCAGUCAUGUGAUAAGUGUUAUGAACACAACACAGCUGAUUCUGCAGUAUUUCAUGAGCUGUGAAUCUGAAAAAGAAUCCAUGCUGCCUGCCCUGCUUUGUGCCAUGGAAAGAAAAUUCAAGACUGAUGUUGGCAUUCACAGAGCAGCUGCACACAGUGGACCAUCGCUACUGGGCUUGGGAAACUAGCACUGAGUGGUCGGAUCAGAUUUUGAUGCAGGUACGGGAUCGUGAGCAGUGGCUGCAGAACUUUCAUGUGCACGAAGCCACCUUCCUUGAACCCUGCAAGGAGCUCGUCCCUGCCCUGUGGUACAAGGACACAAAAAUGAGAGCUGCCCUAAUGGUGGAAAAGCCAGUGGCAAUCGCUGUGUGGAAUCUGGCAGCUCCAGACUGCUACCGGUCAGUCACGAAUCAGUUUGGACUUGGGAAGUCCAUCGUGGGGGUGCAGUGGUGCAAGUGUGUAGGGCCAUUUUCAAUCUCCUGCUACGAAGGACUGUGACUCUGGGCAAUUUGUGGGAAAUAGUGGAUGGCUCUGCAGCAAUGGAAUUUCCUUACUGCGGCAGGGCGAUAGAUGGUACACAUAUCCCAAUUUUGGCCCCAGACCAUUUUGCAACGGAGUACAUCAAUAGAAGGGGCUGCUUCUCUAUGGUAUUGCAGGUGCUGGUGGAUCUCCAGAGUUGUUUCACUGACAUCAGUGCAGGGUGGUUAGGGAAGGUGCAUGGUGCAUAUAUCUUCAGGAACACUGGCUUGUAUAGAAAGCUGCAUGCAGGGACUGUGUUUGAAGACCAGAAGAUUUCAACAGGGAAUGUGGAAAUGCCCAUAGUGAUUCUGGGAGACCCAGCCUACCCCUUACUUCCAUGGCUCAUGAAGCCUUACACUAGAAACCUUGACAGCAGCAAGGAGUGCUUCAACAACAGGCUCAACAGAUGCAGAAUGACCGUUGAAUGUGCAUUUGGUAGAUUACAUUGUAGCUGGCACUGCCUUUCUGGCAGGUUAGACCUUAAUGAGGAAAAUAUUCCCAUGGUCAUAGCAGCCUGCUGUGCUCUGCAUAACAUUUGUGAAACCAAAGGGGAAACAUUUCCCAAGAGGUGGAGGGCUGAAGUGGAUCACUUGGUGACUGAUUUUGAGCAACCAGACACCAGGGCUAUUAGAGGGGCUCAACAGCGGGCUAUUUGAAUCAGGGAGGCUUUUAAGCAGCAUUUUGACAAUGAGCCCUAGUAAUGUGUCUGUCUGUAAUUCAUUCAGCCAGACAUUGUUUACUUACCACAUUGAAUGACCCCUGUAAUGAUUCCUGCCUGAGAGUUAAUUGUAGUCUGCAAAUGUGCCAGUUGCUGCCGUGUAUGAAUUUCUAUUGUAAUCACCCUGUGUAGGUCACAAAUAAAGAACCACUGUCUUUGUAA